rnacentral:tRNA from 1 species
GGGCCGAUGGCGAAGGGGUAUCGCGUCCGCUUUGCAUGCGGAAGGUCUCGGGUUCGAAUCCCGAUCGGUCCAC